rnacentral:rRNA from 1 species
AUACGUAGGGGGCGAGCGUUAUCCGGAAUUAUUGGGCGUAAAGCGUGCGUAGGCGGUUUGUUAAGUCACUUGUAAAAGAUCUCAGCCCAACUGAGUAGGGCGAGUGAAACUGGCAGACUUGAAUACGGUAGAGGUAAGUGGAAUUCCAUGUGUAGCGGUGGAAUGCGUAGAUAUAUGGAGGAACACCAAUGGCGAAGGCAACUUACUGGGCCGGAAUUGACGCUGAGGCACGAAAGCGUGGGGAGCAAACAGGAUUAGAUACCCUGGUAGUCCACGCCGUAAACGAUGAGAACUAAGUGUUGGAGUAAAAUUCAGUGCUGAAGUUAACGCAAUAAGUUCUCCGCCUGGGUAGUACGAUCGCAAGAUUGAA